CCUACGGGAGGCAGCAGUGGGGAAUUUUGGACAAUGGGCGCAAGCCUGAUCCAGCCAUGCCGCGUGUGUGAAGAAGGCCUUCGGGUUGUAAAGCACUUUCGGACGGAACGAAAUCGCGCGGGCGAAUAUCCCGCGUGGAUGACGGUACCGUAAGAAGAAGCACCGGCUAACUGCGUGCCAGCAGCCGCGGUAAUACGUAGGGUGCGAGCGUUAAUCGGAAUUACUGGGCGUAAAGCGUGCGCAGGUGGCGUCGCAAGUCAGGCGUGAAAUCCCCGGGCUUAACUUGGGAAUUGCGCUUGAAACUACGAUGCUGGAGUGCGGCAGAGGGAGGUGGAAUUCCACGUGUAGCGGUGAAAUGCGUAGAGAUGCGGAGGAACACCGAUGGCGAAGGCAGCCUCCUGGGUCGACACUGACGCUCAUGCACGAAAGCGUGGGGAGCAAACAGGAUUAGAUACCCUGGUAGUUCACGCCCUAAACGAUGUCUACUAGUUGUUGGGGGAGUUAAAUCCCUUAGUAACGCAGCUAACGCGCGAAGUAGACCGCCUGGGGAGUACGGUCGCAAGAUUAAAACUCAAAGGAAUUGACGG
rnacentral:rRNA from 1 species